CCAAAGUGCUGGGAUUACAGGCGUGAGCCACCGCGCCCGGCCGAGGUCGUUAUGAUUAUUAUUAUCCCUGCCUUACAGGGGUAGAGAGGUCACUUGUAUGUGAUGUCAGCACCUCUGCUAUCCUUCCUAAUGUCUUGCUCUUUGGACUUGUGGACUCACAUGGAUCUUGGAUUAUCGGAAUGACAGGCCAAGAAUGCACUUCUCUCUCCUACCCCUUUGUGAAGAAGGACGUGCUUGCUUCCCCUUCAGCCAUGAUUAAGAUUCUGGGAUCCCAAAUGUGUGAGGAUUUUUUCCCAAUGGCAAGCAAACAAUCAAUUCUGCAGCAGACACCAGUUAAAAUACAAAAAGAAGAAACCCGGUGUUCAAAAACAAUUUCAGAACUCAAAUUUACAUUUCCCCUGGAACAAUGAAGCUGCCAUCAUCCUGAAAAGUAUUUUCCUGGAACAAUGAAGCUGCCAUCAUCCUGAAAAGUAUUUUCACAGGAAAAAAAGGAAGACAGGCAGGCAGCCAGCCAUGUGUGUCCUCUCUUCUUCUUUAUCACCAAGAAUGACUGGGAGCUAGAGCAGCAAUGUUGAUGGGCAUUGAUCUGUUUCAGAAACAUCUCAAGGACUGAGAAAUGACUUCGGGCAUUCCCUUUUCAAAAGAUGCUAUCUCAUUUCCUUACUAAAGAGAUGAGAAAAAGGGUGGAAAUUGAGAGAUGCAAGGUAAGAGCUCAAAUAAUGUGAAUUAAGUCUGAAGGAGAUUUUUUUUCCCCUCCUAUGAGGUAUUUACUAGCUGAUAAUCCUGCAGUGAAAGAAUAUCCAACCAGUGAGAGUUAGGAAAAAAUAUGGAUUGUUGAUUUGGAAGGAGACUAAUAAACUAUCCCUGCCAUAAUUUUUUUUCAUUUUACACCCCCUUAAAAUAACUAAGAAAAAUAUUACUUUUAUAAAACACUGCAGUGAACACAGCCCUGGAAUUCUGGUAUUAUAACAACUUUCAGGUGGAGGCAUAAAGUGAUAUUCCAAAAUGUUAAAAAUCAUCAAUACGAGUAAAAAUCUGACUUUGAAUAUUGGACUGCAGUGUUAUUACUUCCUCUUGGUGGUGUGUUUCCAAUUUUAGGGACUGUGGGGGAAAGACAAGCUGCGUACAUACAUGCAUUCUCCCAAUAUCAGCCCCAUUUAUUUGGAUGGAUCUAAUGAUAUUACUUUCAAACUU
rnacentral:lncRNA from 1 species